CUUAUACUCCUUCCGUCUUAAAUUACUUGUCUUAAAUUUGUCUAAAUAUGAAUAUAUCUAGACAUGUUUUAGUGUUAGAUACAUUCAUAUUUAGAUAAAUCUAAGACAAGUAGUUUGGGACUGAAGAAGUACUAU
rfam:Hordeum vulgare subsp. vulgare, WGS project CAJW01000000 data, contig: morex_contig_53254